UUAUGGAUGUAAGCCAAGAGAUUUUAAAAGAGAAGAAGUCAACCUUUAUGUGUUUGGGUCUUACUAUCCAGAAGUAUUAUUCAGAUCAAGAAAUUCAUGUUGAUGAAACCUGAUCCUGUGUUAUUGGAGAGUGAAUGUCAUUAAGUAUUUCUGAAAUGUUUCUAAAAAGUGAACAUUUAAAAAAUACUGUGUUUUCUCCCUAGCUUCCUGUUAUAGCAUUUCCAAUUGCUUCAUACUUCACAGUUUUAAUGAAUACAAAGUAUAAGCUCUACUUUAUAACACAUCCUGUAGGUUUCUUUAAAACUGUUUUUAUAUUCCAGUUACAUUUCUCUAUCUGAAAACUCUUUUGUUACUGCUGCAGGUUACACCCUUCAUUCUUAGAGGCCAUUUUGUUUUGUUUGUUUUAUGCUAAAGCUGUUGUUGAAAUGCUCUAAAUUCCAAGGCAGAUUGUCUGUGUAAUACCCUACAGCUUUUACCAUGUGGUGUGUACCAGCCAGUACUCUGUAU
rnacentral:lncRNA from 1 species